AGCUUGCUAGGAGGCGUCGAGCGGCGGACGGGUGAGUAAUGCAUAGGAAUCUGCCCGAUAGUGGGGGAUAACCUGGGGAAACUCAGGCUAAUACCGCAUACGUCCUACGGGAGAAAGCAGGGGAUCUUCGGACCUUGCGCUAUCGGAUGAGCCUAUGUCGGAUUAGCUUGUUGGUGAGGUAAUGGCUCACCAAGGCGACGAUCCGUAGCUGGUCUGAGAGGAUGAUCAGCCACAUCGGGACUGAGACACGGCCCGAACUCCUACGGGAGGCAGCAGUGGGGAAUAUUGGACAAUGGGCGAAAGCCUGAUCCAGCCAUGCCGCGUGUGUGAAGAAGGCUUUCGGGUUGUAAAGCACUUUCAGUGAGGAAGAACGCCUUCGGCUUAAUACGCCGGAGGAAAGACAUCACUCACAGAAGAAGCACCGGCUAACUCCGUGCCAGCAGCCGCGGUAAUACGGAGGGUGCGAGCGUUAAUCGGAAUUACUGGGCGUAAAGCGCGCGUAGGUGGCUUGAUAAGCCGGUUGUGAAAGCCCCGGGCUCAACCUGGGAACGGCAUCCGGAACUGUCAGGCUAGAGUGCAGGAGAGGAAGGUAGAAUUCCCGGUGUAGCGGUGAAAUGCGUAGAGAUCGGGAGGAAUACCAGUGGCGAAGGCGGCCUUCUGGACUGACACUGACACUGAGGUGCGAAAGCGUGGGUAGCAAACAGGAUUAGAUACCCUGGUAGUCCACGCCGUAAACGAUGUCGACU
rnacentral:rRNA from 1 species